rnacentral:rRNA from 1 species
AGAGUUUGAUCAUGGCUCAGAGCGAACGCUGGCGGCGUGCUUAAUACAUGCAAGUCGAACGUGAAUCCCGACUUCGGUUGGGAUGAAAGUGGCGAACGGGUGAGUAACACGUAAGUAAUCUGCCUUCAAGUUUGGGAUAACCCUGCCAACGCGGGGCUAAUACCGGAUGUGGUCCAGCUGACACAUGUUGGCUGGAUUAAAGGUCGCGAGGCCGCUUGGAGAUGAGCUUGCGGCCCAUUAGUUAGUUGGUGAGGUAACGGCCCACCAAGACGAAGAUGGGUAGCCGGCCUGAGAGGGUGUACGGCCACAUUGGGACUGAGAUACGGCCCAGACUCCUACGGGAGGCAGCAGUAGGGAAUUUUGCGCAAUGGACGGAAGUCUGACGCAGCAACGCCGCGUGAAGGAUGACGGCCUUCGGGUUGUAAACUUCUGUUGGAUGGGAAAAAAAGCCUAGGAAUAGGAAUUGAUGGUACCAUUCGAGUAAGCACGGCUAACUACGUGCCAGCAGCCGCGGUA